GAUGAACGCUGGCGGCGUGCCUAAUACAUGCAAGUCGAGCGAACGGACGAGAAGCUUGCUUUUCUGAUGUUAGCGGCGGACGGGUGAGUAACACGUGGAUAACCUACCUAUAAGGCUGGGAUAACUUCGGGAAACCGGAGCUAAUACCGGAUAAUAUUUUGAACCGCAUGGUUCAAAAGUGAAAGACGGUCUUGCUGUCACUUAUAGAUGGAUCCGCGCUGCAUUAGCUAGUUGGUAAGGUAACGGCUUACCAAGGCAACGAUGCAUAGCCGACCUGAGAGGGUGAUCGGCCACACUGGAACUGAGACACGGUCCAGACCCCUACGGGAGGCAGCAGUAGGGAAUCUUCCGCAAUGGGCGAAAGCCUGACGGAGCAACGCCGCGUGAGUGAUGAAGGUCUUCGGAUCGUAAAACUCUGUUAUUAGGGAAGAACAUAUGUGUAAGUAACUGUGCACAUCUUGACGGUACCUAAUCAGAAAGCCACGGCUAACUACGUG
rnacentral:rRNA from 1 species